rnacentral:tRNA from 2 species
GUCCUUGUAGCUUAUAGCAAAGCAUGACACUGAAGAUGUCAAGAUGGCCGCUUCACCACGCCCAAGAACA